rnacentral:lncRNA from 1 species
AGUUUUUACACGUGUUUUGUUUGUUUUGUUGUUUUAUAUAUAAUAUAAUAUAAUAAUAAUAAUAAUAAUGUAUAGAGAGAAAUGAUUUUUCAUGUUUUUUUUUAAUUUUAGUAUCAUAUGAUUUAAAAUAUAUUAUUUAGUAUUUUGUGCUUUUGUNUUGUUUUUUUUUUUUUUUCAUUGACAUUUUUAUUAACUCUCCGUUAAAUCAUACAGAAAAAUUUCAGAUAUCCACAUAUAUUUUAUCAAAUAUUCACUUUAGUACACUAUAGUUUAUCGAAUUUUCAUUUUAGUAUCAUGUAGUUAACUUUCUCACUUGUUUAAUAAAAAAAAUUAACAGAGGAAACAUAAUGAAAAUAAAAAAAAUAAAAUCACCGAGUACUAAAGCGAUAUAUUUUAAAUCACAAAAUACUUAAAAAAAUAAAGAGGUGCAAAACCACAUAAAUAAUAUUUGAAGUUUUUCCUUAAUAAUUUUUCUAUUAAUAAUGUUUGGAGAAUCUUUGAUUACUCU